ensembl:lncRNA
CCCCUUAGCCUCCCGGCUUCGCCUAGAGGCCUUGGGAGCCCGGCGCUCUGUUCCGACCUGGGCUGCAGUGCUCGGGCAGACGGCGCCCGCGGCCCACGACGCUUCCGCAGGGUCGGUGGCCAGUGAGCUUCGCCGCCUGGCUUCCUGACGACCGCCGAUCGCCUGUGUUCGUGGCUUUUUCUCAUCCACUGUCCUCAGUUCCCUCGCCUUCGAAAAUGGCGAGGCGAGUGUCGGGGUCAGUCCAGCCUAGGAUUGGAAUGCUGACCUGCUUUUUGGGUGGGAGGGCAGGAGGAAGAAGAUGCCAACACCCAGCCACCUUCUACCCAGCCAUCUAGGGGCAAAGCCAGCAAAGAGAGCACCAGC